UGGCGAACGGCUGAGUAAUGCGAAGGUAACCUACCCUUCAGCGGGGAAUAUCUCCGAGAAAUCGGAGCCAAUACCGCAUAUCGUCAUCACACGCGAGUGUGAUGAUGAAAGCCUUCGGGCGCUGGAGGAUGGGCCUUCGUCCCAUCAGGCAGUUGGCAGGGUAACGGCCUACCAAACCUGAGACGGGUAGCUGGUCUGAGAGGAUGGUCAGCCAGAUGGGGACUGAGAUACGGCCCCAACUCCUACGGGAGGCAGCAGCAAGGGAUAUUGCGCAAUGGACGAAAGUCUGACGCAGCGACGCCGCGUGAGGGAUGAAGGCCUUCGGGUCGUAAACCUCUUCUAUUGGUGAAGAGUCAGGACGGUAACCAAUGA
rnacentral:rRNA from 1 species